AAGCAGACAAGGAAGUAAAUUCUCAGAGUCCUAAAAGAAGAAUUUAAGCAAAAAUUAAUCUACAUAAUCAAUUUCUAGGAAAUAUGUAGGGACUCACUUCAGAAGAUAUGGAUAUGAUGACAAAAUUUUUCGUUUCCAUGAAACAUUAAUAGCUUAGCAAGCACACAGCCAGUCCAAAUUGACAUUGAGUAAUAACAACAUUAUGGGUCAAGUUCCUACCUUUAAAUGUCCCUUUUCUUCUUUUGGUAUUUUAUCGCAUUAAUCCUUUCUCAUAUGAUGAAUGGUCCAAUCUAAGACACUAAAAAUAUACAACAAACUAUUUAAGCUCCUAUUUUUCUAGAUUAUGCAGGGGCUACAUACAUGUUUUGUUAUAACCUCGUGGAGACUUUUGGCCUUUUCCUUGAAUUCCACCUGUCAGUCAAAGGAUUCUAGUCAAGGUACAUUACUAUUAUGUUUAACCAUAUAGAAAUAUAAUAAUUGCCACUUUACAUAGACUUGAAUCCAAAUUACAGCAGAAAGCAAAAGUCAUCAACUCAUCAUUCUUACAGAUCUAUAUGUGUAACAACAUAAAAAAUAAUGGCAAAUAAGGAUAACAUUGGUUAAUGCAGCUCAGGCAAAUUGCUUAACCACAAAAGCUUACAACAGUGGGCCUCUCUAGCCGACCCUCGCUCACCCUUUGUUGCAAAUCCUCACAUUCUUCCUUAGAGAAAUUAUCAUCUGAUAACUUGCAAAUGGGAAUAUCUUUUGGCAUAUUAAAAACUUGUAGGAGAAUAUCUGUAUUCACUUCGCCACUUCUUGAACUUCUUUUUAUGCCCUUCACUUUGAGAAGCUGAUGAGAAUUUUUCUGUGAAUAGUCGUACGGAUCGCAUUUAAUCCUCACGAAACUUCCCAUUACUUUAUCAUCAAAAGUCUCAGGUUGCUUUGACAGCUCCUCCACUAAACUCCUCCUCAAGUAUAUAAGGUUUAUAUUUUCAGGAAUGACAGAUGCAAAACAGCUUCUUUGGACAUCUGGAAUGGCUUCUUUAUCCUGAGAUUUUCUAUCGGGGCUUGAGUUUCGCUGCCUUUUACAGGCCAUUGAGACAUUCCCACCCUUGCCUUCUGAACUAUAUCCAAAGUCAUCCUCUGAUUGCUCAAAAUUCUCAGCAAAAUGGGGUGUCAGAAGGUUAUGUAUGCUAUUCUUAUUAACUGAUUUCCUUCCUAGAAGAGAUUUCAACCAUUCAUCACAAAUAACUUUCUUCUUUUUCUCUGGAUGAAAAAGCUUGUGUUCAUUGCAGUACCUUGUAAUGAUAGCAGCAACAUCAUAUUGUGAUAAUUCUUGCUCUGUGUCUUUACCAAUGGAGGCAAGGAAGUCAAAGAGAAGUUUUGAUCCCCAUCCACUGAACUCCCUUUUCUUUGACUUAACAUUCUUAUUAAUCACAGAUUGUUUCCGUUUUUUGCUUUUCCUUUUUUGUGUUCCUUUACGCUUUUUUCUUUUGUUUAAAUCAUCAUUAUCAGAUAUAAGUUCAUUUUCACCCUCGAAUUCACUAAUACUUUCUUCACCUUCAGAAAUAUCAUUUAUGUCCAAGUAUUCGGUGUCUAUACCCUUAUUCAACAGUUUAUGGACAUGAUUGGAAGUUAAACCUUCUUUUGAUUUAAUCAUUUCCCAAUAAACUUUGAACAUGAACUCAUAUGUGCCUCGAUCAUUGAAGUCUAUCUUCCCCUCAUCAAAGUCUGGAUUCUUUAUUCCUUCAACCAACCCUGCGAGUGUUAAGCAAUGAUUGCAGAGUCCUCUUUUUCUUGUAAUGACUGCAAACUCAGCAACACCUACGCAGCGUCCACAUACAGCGUUUGCACAACAAAAGCAAUGGAAUUUUGGGGUUUUCUUGCAAAUGAAGCAAAAAUGCCACUUGCAGAUCCAAGGAACAUCACUCUCCAAGAAUGAAUCAUCUUUUUCUACACACCAGGGAUGAUAUGCUUUGAGGCAAUCCUUGUAGUCACAAACCAUCAAUAGACCUCCAUCUUUGCAAAUGAAACACCAAUCCUCAGCAAUCUCAUCCUUGUUUAUCUUCUUCGUCCUCCUCAUUUUCACCACCGAAGCUCUCCCCAAAGUGGAAUCCGAACCACCCUUUCAAAUGGUAAGAAUCGUUAAGAGACUGACUCUUUCUCUCUAAUGUUACCUAUUCAUGUUCACUUAGCUGGGAAAAACCCAUUCAUCAACGAGGAUAAAAAUAAUGACUCGAAGCUUUGAAAUUGAGUAUCAAAAUCCAAAUAGGCUCAUCCCACGAAUUAUCAGAAACCCAUUUGAGAAAAAGGCACAAAAAGCACAAUUUUACAUUCAAAGCCAUUUCCUUCGAACAUCAAAAGCCACAAUACAAUGAAAUGAGAAGCUAAACUCUCAAAUUCCAAGCAUAGUUGGCCUUAGUGGAGAGACUAACAAAGACCCAUUUAGCUAAACAGAAGAGCAGACCUUUAGGCUUCAAAAUUAAGAACUAGCAAGCAGCAUUGGUAUUUCUUUAAAGAAAAGAAGAUUGUAAGAGCAUAUAGAGAGAAGCUAGAGAAGAAUGGCAGUGCAAAGGAGAGCAAGAGAUGACAUCUGGGUGGGAGUCAGAGGGACGGGUGGAUUACUGUGGAAAUUAGUAUGAAAAAGAAAGAUCCGUCUUAAAAUUAGAGACUGAAAAUACGAUUAGAAGAUUAAUUAGGUUAUUGUGCUCUUUGUUUACUGAAGUUGGCAAAAUAUUAC
rnacentral:misc_RNA from 1 species